GUAGGGGGGGCAAGCGUUUUUCCGGAAUUACUGGGGUGUAAAAGGGGUAUGCAGGCGGAUUUAUAAGUUAAGUAUGAAAAACUCUAGGCUUAACCUAGAGCUCGUGCCUAAUACUGUAAUCUAGAGAGUAGGAAAGGGAAGUGGAAUUCCCGGUGUAGCGGUAAAAUGCGUAGAUAUCGGGAGGAACACCAGUGGCGUAAGCGGCUUCCUGGCCUAACUCUGACGCUCAUAUACGAAAGCUGGGGGAGCAAACAGGAUUAGAUACCCUGGUAGUCCUAGCUAUAAACGAUGGGUGCUUGGUGUUGGGGGUUUUCCCUCAGUGCCGUAGCUAACGUGUUAAGCACCCCACCUGGGAAGUACGAUCGCAAGGUUGAAACUCAAAGGAAUUGACGGGGCCCCGCACAAGCAGCGAGGCAUGUGGUUCAAUUCGAUGCUACACGAAGAACCUUACCUGGGCUUGACAUGUAUGAGAAAGCUGGAAGAAACUCUGGCCCUCUGAGAGAGUAAUCUCGAUGACCCAUACACAGGUGCUGCAUGGUUGUCGUCAGCUCGUGUCGUGAGAUGUACGGUUAAGUCCGUGAACGAGCGCAACCCCUUUCCUUAGUUGCUAAUACGCUUCGGCGUAUGCACUCUAAGGAUACUGCCAGUGGAAAACUGGAGGAAGGAGGGGAUGACGUCAAAUCCUCAUGGCCUUUAUGUCCAGGGCUACACACAUGCGACAAUGGUCGAUACAAAGCGUUGCAAGCCAGUAAUGGCAAGCCAAUCGCAUAAAAUCGUCCUCAGUACGGAUUGAGGGUUGCAAUUCACCCUCAUGAAGCUGGAGUUGCUAGUAACCGCCGGUCAGCUAUACGGCAGUGAAUGCGUUCCCGGGGCUUGUACACACCGCCCGUC
rnacentral:rRNA from 1 species